CUACGGGGCGCUGCAGUGGGGAAUUUUGCGCAAUGGGCGAAAGCCUGACGCAGCAAUACCGCGUGAGUGAAGAAGGCCUUUGGGUCGUAAAGCUCUUUUCUGGGGGAAGAUAGUGACGGUACCCCAGGAAUAAGCACCGGCUAACUCCGUGCCAGCAGCCGCGGUAAUACGGAGGGUGCAAGCGUUGUUCGGAUUUACUGGGCGUAAAGGGCACGUAGGCGGCACAGCAAGUUAAGGGUGAAAUCCCGGGGCUCAACUCCGGAACUGCUCUUAAAACUGCUGAGCUAGAGAUGGUCAGAGGCGGGUAGAAUUCCUGGUGUAGAGGUGAAAUUCGUAGAUAUCAGGAGGAAUACCGGUGGCGAAGGCGGCCCGCUGGGGCCAUUCUGACGCUAAGGUGCGAAAGCGUGGGGAGCGAACGGGAUUAGAUACCCCCGUAGUC
rnacentral:rRNA from 1 species